rnacentral:rRNA from 1 species
UACGAAGGUGGCUAGCGUUGUUCGGUGUCACUGGGCUUAAAGCGCUCGUAGGCGGAACCGUAAGUGUCUUGUGAAAUCCCCCGGCUCAACCGGGGAAUGGCUAGGCAUACUGCGGUUCUUGAGGCAAACAGGGGUGCAUGGAACUCUUGGUGGAGCGGUGGAAUGCGUAGAUAUCAAGAGGAACGCCGAUGGUGAAGACAAUGCACUGGGUUUGUCCUGACGCUGAGGAGCGAAAGCGUGGGGAGCAAACAGG